AGAAGGUCUGAAUGCAAUAAACAUUUUCAACUUGUUCUUGCAGAAUACGAAGAGAAAUGAUAUUUGCGAAAAUGUUUUUAAAAAAAUCGACUUUGGUGAAAAUCCUAAUGGGGGUUGUGGUUUGGAGUUCUGUUUUGUGUGUUGCUUUAGAUAGAAGAGGUGUUGGAAGGCGUUGAUGUUAAUUUGAAUGACGCCAAUUAUUUUGCACCAUUUUUACUUAUUUUCAAUUAUAAGUUAAAAUGUGUUGAAUAAAGAAAUUAAUUUAA